AGGUGUUCUGGGUUCUGCGUUGGCAUGCUGCAUCCCUCCCUGGUUAAAUGUGGAUGGGCAUAUAGACAGUGCUGCUGAGGAGUUCUUUUGUAUAUACAACACCCUUGACAAACUGGUGGACCUGAUCAGAAGUUCCACAAGCGAUCCGACUGCUCUUUCUGAACUGAACAUGCUGCAGGAAAUACUAGAAGACAAGGUUCAUGUUAAUCAUUCUACGCUGCUGAAGUCAAAGAAUAUGGAGGAAAGAAAAAGUUUUUUUCAGCAGCGGAGAGUGAAGCUGCUGGAGGAAGUAGACACCUGGAGCCAGAGUCUGGAGGAAAGAGCUUUAAAAACUUCUGUCUUUGGACUCAUUAUGAAAGUCAUUCAACUGAUUAAGAAGUGGGAGUGGGGAACAACCAGAAACCACCUCU